rnacentral:rRNA from 1 species
CACUCCUUCACCACUCCCUCUCUCCUCCAUCACUCCUUCACCACUCCCUCUCUCCUCCAUCACUCCUUCCCCCUCCCUCCCCCCUCCCUCCCCCUCACUCUACUACAUCCUCCCCCUCCAUCACUUCCCCCUGUCUUCCCCCCUCCCUUAGAUAUUGAGAAUAGUAAACAUAAAUUGUGUAGUCUAUUUAAUACAUUUCAAUUUUUCCUGCUAAGCUAUGACUCAUGAAUGUAGAAACCAUGAUUACAUGAUGUGGACUUAGAAUUAUUUCAUAAAGUCAUUCCAUGUGGAUUCCACCCUUAAAAUGGUAUAGAACAUAUAGAAUAGAGUAUGGAAUCCAUCAGCCAUUCCAUGGAAUCCAUCCCCCAAAGUCAUGGAAUCCAUCCCCCAUUCCAUGGAAUCCAUCAGCCAUUCCAUUGAAUCCAUCCCCCAUUCCAUGGAAUCCAUCAGCCAUUCCAUUGAAUCCAUCCCCCAAAGUCAUGGAAUCCAUCCCCCAUUCCAUGGAAUCCAUCCCCCAAAGUCAUGGAAUCCAUCCCCCAUUCCAUGGAAUCCAUCUGGAAUUUGUGCAGUCCACCCCCCAUUCCAUCCAUUCCAUAUGGAUUAACCCGGGGAGGGUAAAGUACUGAGAAGCAGUAACCUGCAAGACCGUCAAAUUGCGGGAAAGUCCUUAGAGCCUUUGCUACCGCCUCUGCAUGGAAACAUAGCAAUGUGCACCAGGGUAAUGACCUCGGGUAUGGUAAAAACACAAAGGAUUGGAUAAUCCACAGCCAAGUCCUAAGGGUGUAAACCUAUGGAUGCAGUUCAACGACUAGAUGGUGGUCGGUUUCAAUGCAAAGUUGAAGCUUAAGAUAUAGUCUGGCCCCCCAGAAAUGGGGCCCAAGGAUGAAAGGCCUAACCAGCCCAGAGCCUUGGGAUGUUGUAAUGACAUGGGAUAACCGUACCACAGGGAUAACUGGCUUAUGGCAGCCAAGCGUUCAUAGCGACAUUGCUUUUUAAUCCUUCAAUGUCGGCUCUUCCUAUCAUACCAAAGCAGAAUUCGGUAAGCGUUGGAUUGUUCACCCACUAGAUGUGUGGAGGCCUUCAAUAACCGGUGCGUUGUUUGACUGUAAGGGGCAUAUACAUAUUUGGUAGUAAACAAUUGUACAGCUCUUGAAAUUGAACUCUGUUGCUGGACAAUGUUGGCAUUCUUUUAUAAAACAGACUUGGUGGGAAUAGCGGUGCUAUUCAAUGUAAGUGUAAUUGACGGAUAAUCGCUAGUCGACUCAGUGAAAUGUGCAGGUACUGAGCGGCAAGAUAACCUGGAUCGGGGAAAGCUAAGGACUACUUGUAUUUUCAUGUUGUAGUCUAUGCCAAUCCCAAGCAGAGCACCCAGAGAGUGAUCUUUGGUGUUGCCUGUGUAAUGCGCGGUAAGGUAUCGCCGAUGUUCAUCUCUAGAAAUAGAGUGGGCUUAAGGGACGUGCUACUCCCAUUCGAAAGAAUGCUUUGUACUGGAGCGCCUGCAAUGCAAAGGUAUAGAGGGUCGUGCUCUUUGGACGAGAGACUAGUAGGAAAUGACUAGUCAAGACCGGUAUAAAGGAAUAGGGAACGUGAGCUGGGUUUAGACCGUCGUGAGACAGGAUAGUUUUACCCUACUUAUGGAGUGUUAUCGUAAUAGUAAUUGAACUUAGUAUGAGAGGAACCGUUCAUUCAGAUAUCACUAGUGGGAACCACUAGUUAUGAUAAAACUAAGGCAGUUGCCUACAGUGCUGUGUGUAAAAUGCCAUGGUUUUUUAUGAAAAAUCUCAUAUAAGGCUGGCAAUUUGUCAUUCUCAUAAUGCCUUGGAUUUCUUUCAUAACCCAUAGCAAAGCAUGGUGUAGGCAAUUUCAUUAGAUAUCAACCCUCUUUCAUUGUCAAUUUCAUAUCUUUGCAAUGCAU